rnacentral:rRNA from 1 species
GGCGNGACGGGUGAGUAAUGCGUAGGAAGCUACCCGAUAGAGGGGGAUACCAGUUGGAAACGACUGUUAAUACCGCAUAAUGUCUACGGACCAAAGUGUGGGACCUUCGGGCCACAUGCUAUCGGAUGCGCCUACGUGGGAUUAGCUAGUUGGUGGGGUAAUGGCUCACCAAGGCGACGAUCCCUAGCUGGUUUGAGAGGAUGAUCAGCCACACUGGAACUGAGACACGGUCCAGACUCCUACGGGAGGCAGCAGUGGGGAAUAUUGGACAAUGGGCGCAAGCCUGAUCCAGCCAUGCCGCGUGUGUGAAGAAGGCCUUCGGGUUGUAAAGCACUUUCAGCGAGGAGGAAGGGGUGAGUGUUAAUAGUACUCAUCUUUGACGUUACUCGCAGAAGAAGCACCGGCUAACUCUGUG